UGCAAAAACCACAAUUACUUUUGCAUUCACCUAAAAUUGGAACAACACAGAGAAGACUAGCAUGGCCCCUAAAAAAAAAAUACAUAAAAAUAAACUGCAGAAAGGAUUAUUUUAUUU
rnacentral:snRNA from 1 species